AGUGGUAUUUGAAGGGCAUUCACAUCAAAAAAGCAAGAAAAUUUAUGACCAUCUGAUGCCGGGUACAUGUAUACACGAGUAGCAGAUCAACGACAAGCCACUUCAUGAAAUAUAUAGUGUUAUGUGUCCAUCAUAAUUAUUUGAAAGAGAAUAAAAAACCGCAAGCAUUAGUAAUCCCAAUUUCUUCAAACAAGUCGCAUGUUGGUGUGCGUGUGUUGCAACACGAUUUGAUCGAAAAGAGUUACCAUGAUAUAUUUUCAGCAUGUAC
rnacentral:lncRNA from 1 species